GGGCCGGUAGCUCAGCCUGGUAUGAGCGCCGCCUUGGCAAGGCGGAGGCCCGGGUUCAAAUCCCCGGCCGGUCCACCA
rnacentral:tRNA from 1 species